rnacentral:tRNA from 1 species
GGGGAUUUAGCUCAGUGGUAGAGCACUUGCCUAGUAAGUGCAAGGCCCUGGGUUCGAUCCCCAGCUCUG